rnacentral:snRNA from 1 species
AGCUUUGCGCAGUGGCAGUAUCGUAGCCAAUGAGGUUUAUCCGAGGCGCGAUUAUUGCUAAUUGAAGUCCUGGGACCUUUAUUCCAAAGUCUUUUGGCUCUGAGACCUUUAAAUUACACUGGUCUUAUAUUAAUUCCUAAAGGUCAUUUCAUAAACACUGAGCUAGU